AAACUUUCAACAAUGGAUCUCUUGGUUCCGGCAUCGAUGAAGAACGCAGCGAAAUGCGAUAAGUAAUGUGAAUUGCAGAAUUCCGUGAAUCAUCGAAUCUUUGAACGCACAUUGCGCCCUCUGGAAUUCCGGGGGGCAUGCCUGUCCGAGCGUCAUUG
rnacentral:rRNA from 1 species